rnacentral:lncRNA from 1 species
UAUAUAUAUAUAUAUGGAGAAAUAUACAAUAAAUUUAUAACAAUAGUGUUUAAUAUUAUAAUACCUUCAAACAAAACCAAAAAUGAAAAAACUAAUCUACAAGUGGUAUUUUCGAACCCAAGGCCUCUCACUUGCAAUUCCAUUAACAGACCACCAUGGCUAGAGUCGUCCUUGAAAAAUACAUCUCGACUGAACAUAUUUAAUGAUUGAUUAGAGGAGUUUGAAAAAUAUUAUAAAAAUCUUAGGGUAAAAUCCUAAUUUAUAUUUGUUUUCCUUUCUUUCUUUUCUCCGGCCGCCCAUUCUUUUUCCUCUUCCUCCAUCCAGACGUUUCUUCUCACUUCUCUCUCUCUCUCUCUCUCUCUCUCUCUCUCUUCGUGACCAUAUUUCCUCUUCUUCGCGGCAAUAAUAUAGAUAGACACCAUUUAUUGGAAAACUAAACGACAAUACUGAAGGAAUACCACUGCAAGUAUGCACCAAAGUUUCUACAAGUCUUCCUGUCAAAAUUACUUUUCGCUUAGACCUUCGAAAUUCUUCCAAUAAUUGUGAAAAUAUUUAAUUUCCGAAAGUUCCGACUUUGCCGAAAAUUCCACAUCAAAAUGGUAUUAUUAUAUUCCGAAAUUUCGGAAUCGGCAUCAGAAAUGAAUAUGACUUCCGAAAAUUUUGGGAUCGGAAUUCGGAACUCCUAUUUCCAAUCCGUUCCGGCCGAAGAACAGCCCUAGGUCGACUCGUUCGCGUUCCACUACUCGGCCGUUCUGGUCUUCGCUGCACAACGCAAAACUUCCUUUCCUUUAUACUCACUCGCAUGGGAAAAUGCAUACUACUCGCAGGAGAAAGAUG